rnacentral:lncRNA from 1 species
AGCUGUAUAGCAAGAAGCCCCUGAAUAUCUAUGGUCUAAAAUAAAUAGAUUGUCCAACCUUUUCCUGAGUGCCCCCUGCAAUCCACUAUAGAGCACCUGGUGAGAUAUGGUUAUUUCGAUACCGCAGGGGUUCCAAAAAAUAAACUAUUCUAGCGUUUCAACGUUUGGAUUUGAAGCUAUCUGUGACCCUCCUCAGUCUUUCCACCAAGACAGGAAUGUCCUCCUCACUCAAUGUUGUGAAGCAACACCUGAACCAUCCAGGCUCAAUGCAAUGGCAAGAAGAACCUGGGGUAACGUUGACCUUUGCUUCCUC